rnacentral:rRNA from 1 species
GAUGAACGCUGGCGGCGUGCCUAACACAUGCAAGUCGAGCGAUCUUCUUCGGAAGAGAGCGGCGGACGGGUGAGUAACGCGUGGGUAACCUGCCCUGUACACACGGAUAACAUACCGAAAGGUAUGCUAAUACGAGAUGAUAUGCUUUUAUCGCAUGGUAGUAGUAUCAAAGCUCCGGCGGUACAGGAUGGACCCGCGUCUGAUUAGCUAGUUGGUAAGGUAACGGCUUACCAAGGCGACGAUCAGUAGCCGACCUGAGAGGGUGAUCGGCCACAUUGGAACUGAGACACGGUCCAAACUCCUACGGGAGGCAGCAGUGGGGAAUAUUGCACAAUGGGCGAAAGCCUGAUGCAGCAACGCCGCGUGAGCGAUGAAGGCCUUCGGGUCGUAAAGCUCUGUCCUCAAGGAAGAUAAUGACGGUACUUGAGGAGGAAGCUCCGGCUAACUACGUGCCAGCAGCCGCCGCAG